rnacentral:rRNA from 1 species
AGGUUAAGUUAAUAAGGGCGCACGGUGGAUGCCUUGGCACUAGGAGCCGACGAAGGACGUGACAAACGACGAUAUGCCUUGGGUAGCUGUAAGUAAGCGAUGAUCCAGGGAUUUCCGAAUGGGGGAACCCAACAGGUAAUACCUGUUACCUACAUCUGUUAAGGAUGUGAGGAGGAAGACGCAGUGAACUGAAACAUCUAAGUAGCUGCAGGAAGAGAAAGCAAAAGCGAUUGCCUUAGUAGCGGCGAGCGAAACGGCAGAAGGGCAAACCGAAGAGUUUACUCUUCGGGGUUGUAGGACUGCAAUGUGGACUCAAAGAUUAUAGAAGAAUGAUUUGGGAAGAUCAGCCAAAGAGAGUAAUAGCCUCGUAUUUAAAAUAGUCUUUGUACUUAGCAGUAUCCUGAGUACGGCGGGACACGUGAAAUCCCGUCGGAAUCUGGGAGGACCAUCUCCCAACCCUAAAUACUCCCUAGUGACCGAUAGUGAACCAGUACCGUGAGGGAAAGGUGAAAAGCACCCCGGGAGGGGAGUGAAAUAGAACCUGAAACCGUGUGCCUACAACAAGUUCGAGCCCGUUAAUGGGUGAGAGCGUGCCUUUUGUAGAAUGAACCGGCGAGUUACGUUAUGAUGCGAGGUUAAGUUGAAGAGACGGAGCCGUAGGGAAACCGAGUCUGAAUAGGGCGCCUUAGUAUCAUGACGUAGACCCGAAACCAUGUGACCUACCCAUGAGCAGGUUGAAGGUGCGGUAAGACGCACUGGAGGACCGAACCAGGGCACGUUGAAAAGUGCUUGGAUGACUUGUGGGUAGCGGAGAAAUUCCAAACGAACUUGGAGAUAGCUGGUUCUCUCCGAAAUAGCUUUAGGGCUAGCGUCGACAUUAGAGAUUCUUGGAGGUAGAGCACUGUUUGGGUGAGGGGUCCAUCCCGGAUUACCAAUCUCAGAUAAACUCCGAAUGCCAAUGAAUUAUGGUCGGCAGUCAGACUGCGAGUGCUAAGAUCCGUAGUCGAAAGGGAAACAGCCCAGACCACCAGCUAAGGUCCCAAAAUAAUUGUUAAGUGGAAAAGGAUGUGGGGUUGCACAGACAACUAGGAUGUUAGCUUAGAAGCAGCUAUUCAUUCAAAGAGUGCGUAAUAGCUCACUAGUCGAGUGACCCUGCGCCGAAAAUGUACCGGGGCUAAAACAAUUUACCGAAGCUGUGGAUACCUUUAUAGGUAUGGUAGGAGAGCGUUCUAUGUGUGAUGAAGGUAUACCGUGAGGAGUGCUGGAACGCAUAGAAGUGAGAAUGCCGGUAUGAGUAGCGAAAGACAGGUGAGAAUCCUGUCCACCGUAAGACUAAGGUUUCCAGGGGAAGGCUCGUCCGCCCUGGGUUAGUCGGGACCUAAGGAGAGACCGAAAGGUGUAUCCGAUGGACAACAGGUUGAUAUUCCUGUACUAGAGUAUGUAGUGAUGGAGGGACGCAGUAGGCUAACUAAAGCAGACGAUUGGAAGAGUCUGUCUAAGCAGUGAGGUGUGAAUUGAGUCAAAUGCUUAAUUCUAUAACAUUGAGCUGUGAUGGGGAGCGAAGUUUAGUAGCGAAGUUAGUGACGUCACACUGCCAAGAAAAGCUUCUAGCGUUUAAACAUACUCUACCCGUACCGCAAACCGACACAGGUAGUCGAGGCGAGUAGCCUCAGGUGAGCGAGAGAACUCUCGUUAAGGAACUCGGCAAAAUGACCCCGUAACUUCGGGAGAAGGGGUGUGCUGACUUAAAGUCAGCCGCAGUGAAUAGGCCCAAGCAACUGUUUAUCAAAAACACAGCUCUCUGCUAAAUCGUAAGAUGAUGUAUAGGGGGUGACGCCUGCCCGGUGCUGGAAGGUUAAGAGGAGUGCUUAGCGUAAGCGAAGGUAUGAAUUGAAGCCCCAGUAAACGGCGGCCGUAACUAUAACGGUCCUAAGGUAGCGAAAUUCCUUGUCGGGUAAGUUCCGACCCGCACGAAAGGCGUAAUGAUUUGGGCACUGUCUCAACGAGAGACUCGGUGAAAUUUUAGUACCUGUGAAGAUGCAGGUUACCCGCGACAGGACGGAAAGACCCCAUGGAGCUUUACUGCAGUUUGAUAUUGAGUGUCUGUACCACAUGUACAGGAUAGGUAGGAGUCUAAGAGAUCGGGACGCCAGUUUCGAAGGAGACGCUGUUGGGAUACUACCCUUGUGUUAUGGCCACUCUAACCCAGAUAGGUGAUCCCUAUCGGAGACAGUGUCUGACGGGCAGUUUGACUGGGGCGGUCGCCUCCUAAAAGGUAACGGAGGCGCCCAAAGGUUCCCUCAGAAUGGUUGGAAAUCAUUCGCAGAGUGUAAAGGUAUAAGGGAGCUUGACUGCGAGAGCUACAACUCGAGCAGGGACGAAAGUCGGGCUUAGUGAUCCGGUGGUUCCGUAUGGAAGGGCCAUCGCUCAACGGAUAAAAGCUACCCUGGGGAUAACAGGCUUAUCUCCCCCAAGAGUUCACAUCGACGGGGAGGUUUGGCACCUCGAUGUCGGCUCGUCGCAUCCUGGGGCUGUAGUCGGUCCCAAGGGUUGGGCUGUUCGCCCAUUAAAGCGGCACGCGAGCUGGGUUCAGAACGUCGUGAGACAGUUCGGUCCCUAUCCGUCGCGGGCGUAGGAAAUUUGAGAGGAUCUGCUCCUAGUACGAGAGGACCAGAGUGGACUUACCGCUGGUGUACCAGUUGUCUUGCCAAAGGCAUCGCUGGGUAGCUAUGUAGGGAAGGGAUAAACGCUGAAAGCAUCUAAGUGUGAAACCCACCUCAAGAUGAGAUUUCCCAUGAUUAUAUAUCAGUAAGAGCCCUGAGAGAUGAUCAGGUAGAUAGGUUAGAAGUGGAAGUGUGGCGACACAUGUAGCGGACUAAUACUAAUAGCUCGAGGACUUAUCCAAA